rnacentral:lncRNA from 1 species
AUCAGGGGUAGAAGCACUGCUACUGUCAUUUCUUUGUAUCACCAUGGUGCCUAAGAGCCCUAGCCAUGGGCUUUGCUGUGCUGGGUGCUGGGCUUAGCCAGUGCAAACAAACCCUGGAAAGUGCAGACUAUUGUGUGUCCAUUUUGUGGAAUUUAUAAGCCCUUGUAACCCAUUCCUACCACAGGGAAUAAUGCUGGAUUUAAACAGCUCUGGAAGGCAAGAUCAAUUUCUGUGCUGACAAGCUGUAGAAAGUUUUUUUCUGACAAGCUAUGAGGGCUGCACUAAAUAGAUGUGGAGUAAGUGCAGAUGAAGUGGGACAUGAAAUCACAACUCGUUACUGAAUUGCACAGGUGUAUCUCUAUUCAGGGAAGACCAUGUUAAGGGGUGGAUUUUAUACUUUGAUCUGAAGAAGCUGGGAUUCCCAGAAGACCUCAUCUCUUUGAGGAUGGAGACACGUUGUGGAUGCAUGUCAUGAUGUGUAUGAAAAGAAGUUAAGUUGGAACAAGGAGGAGAAAGAAGUAUUUUGGGUUUUCAUGAGAAAACUGGUUUGGAGCACUACCUGCAAGUGCUCUCAGAGGCUAUUUGAAGAAGGAAGAAAGGAUUGGGCUAAAGAUUUUCAUGGAGAUUUUUAUUUUCACAUGAUCAAUCAUCCAACUGAGGCAAUGCAUGGUACAGAGGUGUGGGAAACAUGGCAUGCGACCUUAAAUAGACUAAGAUAAGUUUCCAUAUUUGUUGAAUUUGUUAAGUUUGUUAUGUUUGUUAAUUUUUUACAAAUACACUCAAUUUUAAAAAUCAUUGGUUUGUAAGUAAUUUAUAAUCAGAAAUCAGAAUUUGGAAUCAGACUGAAUCUUUUGAAAAUGUUAUCUGUUGUAACCAGCAUGUUCAACUGCAAUCAUAAUUCAUGUCAUUCAACUGCUGCAACUUAUUUUUCUAGAGUUUUUCUAGCAUAUGGAUCUAACCCCUAUGCGUAAGUUUUCACAAUCAGUCAAGGUUAAAUUCAUCUUUGAUGUAAAAGAGUUUUUUCAAUGAAGUGUUAAAAUUUGCUAGAUCUUUAAUCUGAUUAAUUAUGAAAUCUGAAGUUUUGAUAAUUUUUUCAUCAGCAGCACUGAUCUAAAAGUAGUCUCCAUCUCUGAAUACUUUGGCCUUACAUUUUCUUUUGAAAUACUUCAUUUAAUGCACACAAUGUCUUGCAGGCUGCUGUCUUAUUCUCUACAUGGCUGAAGAAUUUUCAGGUUUGCUGAAUUUAAAAUCAAACUUGUGCUGUACCAUGAAACUGAUUUCUCUUAUUUUGUCUGCCUUGGCAUCUCACAUCAGAUCUGUACUUUAGGAAAAGAGACACAUAACACAAUUUAAAGUUUGCUUCAAUCAGUUGUAUGAAUUUCUGCAGUGAUGGCUUUGGAACACUUCUAGUUACUCUGUUUUGAUUUCAGUACUUUGAUAAAUAGUGCCAUAACUCUUCCUUCUUUUACUUCAUCUGAAUUUGUGCAUCAAAAAUGAUCUCAAAUGAUAAGGUCUCUCAGGCAGAUAAACCAAGCCCUUCCAAUCUAGGAAUACAAAACUUUUUUGCCUUUUAAGGUUUGGUUUUUCUAAAAUUAAAAUGGUCUCAAGUUGUGGUCUGAAGUUGCCUAGAUAUUUACUACCCAUGUGUAUCUGUGUAGCUUGUUCACAUAACCAAAAUAGUUAUUUUUGUCUUCACAAAUAGAGCUCAUAAAAAUAUCUAUUUGUGAAGUCAGGCCUUUUUAUAAGUGAACUAAUGAGUUAUUCUCAUCAAGUAACAAUUUACUGCAGUUAGGCGGAUUGGAAAGGAGAUAGAGAGGGUAAGGAAAUGACAGCAGAAGGUUCUAUUAUGUAGUUUUAACUUUCCAGAAGACUGCCAAGAUAGAUGGACAGGAAAAUGGGGGAGAAAGGAAGAGAGAACUGAAGGCAGAGAAAAGCUAAUGAGAACCAGUGUUAAAGAAAUAGUAGUACCCUGGUGUCAGUGAGGGAACACUUUGGAGCUCCACUGAGGGCAGUCACCUGUAAAACUCCCAGCAGGGACAGACCCAGGGAGAUUGGUUAUUGGGCUGUUAGCACUGAGCAUAAAAGUCCCACAGGACAACUCUGCUCAUGCUCAUAUCCUUGUACCCCCUGGGCUCAUUUCAGCUAACUGGUGGUAUUUGAUUAACAACAGAGAAACAGGACAGAAAGAGUCCAACAUUUAAACAGAAAAUUUGCCCUUUAUCUUGCUGUAAGUUAGUGGUUUAUAAAUGGAUGUCUUUGACUUUUCUGCAACUUGUUCCAUGUGGGAAAGAAUAAUGGCUGAACAGAAUUUUCUUUUUUUAUAUGAAGAAAAUGAUCAGGAAAGUUGAACAUAAUGAUUUCAUGCCGUGACUAUAAUGCAAACACAUACUUAACCAUCAUUGUCUCCUCUUCAUAUAAUAACUGAAAACAUCUGUAUUGUGCACUGAAACAUUAUACGCUGCAUUACAAUUAGAAAUGUGCUGAAGUGUUGGAUUGGGUGUUUAUUUAUGGGCCAUGAAAAGUAAGAUUUUCUGCGCUUCUCAUGUACAGCUAAAUAGCCAUAGGUAGAGUACUGAAAAUUUUGGAACCCAGCAGUCACUGUGGGAAUGACUUCAUUAUUCACCAAAGGAGGUUUUUCCAGCAGAGCUGAGUUGCUGACAAACAAUAAUAAACAUUACUGAAAGUUGGAAACA